AUGAGGUGUUCUCCUCAUUUCCUGGAGUUGCUUGUGUUCUGGAUCCUUGAAGUCAGUGGUCACCCAGGAUGAACUUUCCAAUCCUGUCACUUCUGGAGAAUCAGCUUCCAUCUCCUGCAGGUCUGGUAAGUGUCUUCUACACAGCAAUGGCAAGACAUUCUUGAAUUGGUAACUGCACAGGAGCUCCUGAUCUAUUUGAUGUCCACCCAUUAUCAAGAGUCUCAGGUUCAGUGGCAGUGGGUCAGGAACAGAUUUCAUACUGAAAAUCAAUAUAGUGCAGGCUGAGGAUGUCAACAAGUUCUAGAGUAUCUUC